AGAGUUUGAUCCUGGCUCAGGAUGAACGCUGGCGGCGUGCCUAACACAUGCAAGUCGAGCGAUUCUCUUCGGAGAAGAGCGGCGGACGGUGAGUAACGCGUGGGUAACCUGCCCUGUACACACGGAUAACAUACCGAAAGGUAUGCUAAUACGAGAUAAUAUGCUUUUAUCGCAUGGUAGAAGUAUCAAAGCUUUUGCGGUACAGGAUGGACCCGCGUCUGAUUAGCUAGUUGGUAAGGUAACGGCUUACCAAGGCGACGAUCAGUAGCCGACCUGAGAGGGUGAUCGGCCACAUUGGAACUGAGACACGGUCCAAACUCCUACGGGAGGCAGCAGUGGGGAAUAUUGCACAAUGGGCGAAAGCCUGAUGCAGCAACGCCGCGUGAGCGAUGAAGGCCUUCGGGUCGUAAAGCUCUGUCCUCAAGGAAGAUAAUGACGGUACUUGAGGAGGAAGCCCCGGCUAACUACGUG
rnacentral:rRNA from 1 species